CUUUGAUUAAAAGGUUCUAAAGCCUAAAAAAAUUAAAACAAUAUUAAAGAAAAAGCUGAUAAGAGCAGAUUGUUACAUCGAGAAAACAUUGUCAACCGAGUCGAAGCCAAGGCUUAAAAUGCUUCUUCGAGGAAUGUCAAUCUGAGCUAUGAGUUAUCUAAUUUAUUAUACAGUAUGACCUAUCAUUAUUGUCUUUUACAGUUCCAUUUUUAAUUUAAAGUAUUUAACUAUGAAGUCACGUACAUAACAACAUUACGGGAAUCAACAGAAGGGAAGCAAGAUAACUUUUUUUCUAACAUUGUCGGUGAAAGAAAAAGUUCUUAGCCAAAACGUAGAACUUAAGCAUUGUCUUUACUUUACUUAAUGUUAAUUCAAUUCCUUACCCUUUAGAUUAUCGAUUUUUGAUUUGUUUGCACGAAAGGGUGACACUUACAAAAUUUGUCUCCCGUUCAGCCAUGUGAUAGAGUAAAUUAUCUCACUCGCAUAAGCCAAUCAAAAUAUAAUAUUUUAGAGUUGGGUAUAAUGAUCUGAAAUAUCACCAAAAUAAUAUGAACUUGCGCUUAACACUGUAUGACAACGACGACAACAUGCUUUUAUCCAGCCAAAGGGAAAAACAUAAUUUAUUUUAAUUUGAUUUUAAUGAAUAGAUUUUUUGAAAAGUCUUAAAUACUUAAUUUUGGUAAUUUCA
rnacentral:lncRNA from 1 species